rnacentral:lncRNA from 7 species
AUACAGGGGCACGUUGGAAACAGCUUUGGCCUUCUAAUGGGAGGCAGCGAAAUAUAGGGGAUGUUCAGUUUUCUCCCAGUGGAUGCCUGUGUUAGUGGUGAUGCUUAGCAGAAUUGUGAUCAAUCUGCUGUAUCUGCUGGGGAGAGCUGUUGAAGGUCACUGCAAUUAAAAAAAUGAGAACAUCUCAUAUGUGCAAUGUAGAAAGUAGCAAGAGAACCCGUGUGGGAGCACUUGGAACACAGGUUGGAAGAAUCACUGGAGGAAAACAGUGAAGACAGAGGAAGUAUGAGAUCUUGGAACAGAAAUUGGAGAAAUCAUCCGCGUGGUUGGUCGCAACGGAGAACGCAAGACUGUAAGCCUGCUUUUUUGUUCUCUGCUCCCUUCUUGUAUGGUCAGUUGUGUGCUAAACAACUUAGUAACAUCGUCCUGAAUGGACAAAUACUAAUGGGGAAAAAAAAAAGCUGGUUUUCACAAGUG